rnacentral:rRNA from 1 species
GAUGGACGCUGGCGGCGUGCCUAAUACAUGCAAGUCGAGCGAACAGACGAGGAGCUUGCUCCUCUGACGUUAGCGGCGGACGGGUGAGUAACACGUGGAUAACCUACCUAUAAGACUGGGAUAACUUCGGGAAACCGGAGCUAAUACCGGAUAAUAUAUUGAACCGCAUGGUUCAAUAGUGAAAGACGGUUUUGCUGUCACUUAUAGAUGGAUCCGCGCCGCAUUAGCUAGUUGGUAGGGUAACGGCAUACCAAGGCAACGAUGCGUAGCCGACCUGAGAGGAUGAGCAGCCACACUGGAACUGAGACACGGUCCAGACGCCUACGGGAGGCAGCAGUGGGGAAUAUUGGAGAAGGGGCGAAAGCCUGAGUAAGCCAUGCCGCGUGUGUGAAGAAGGUCUUCGGAUUGUAAAGCACUUUAAGUUGGGAGGAAGGGCAGUAAGUUAAUACCUUGCUGUUUUGACGUGACCAACAGAAUAAGCACCGGCUAACUUCGUG